AAUCUUGUAACUCGAUUAAAUUGCAUCCUAGUUGCAGGAUCAAGCUUGGUGACACCUGCUAAUGACAAGGUAAGCUCGAAGUUCUUUGAUUUACAGUACAUCCUUAUUAACAAUGAUUCUUGGCAACCAAACAGUUCCCUGUUUGGUUAUUUGGUCGCUUGGUAAUUGGCGGGAAAGGAGGACGCUCGGAUUGCUCGCGUGUGAUUCGCGGCAUGAGCUGACGUGGGCUUCUGGCCCAGCAAUUACCGUAUUUACUCAAGAAGCUGCUCGCCUUGUAACUGGAAGCGGUGAUGCCCAUAGGUGGGCUCCAGGCGAACUCACGGUCACAUGUUCGAGGGUUUCCCGUUCUUCUUUUUCUUCGGGAAGCUUUACGGCAAUAGUUUAGCCGACCGUGACAAGUCAGUUAUCUUUGGCCGCACUUGGCCGGAAACAUUUCUGUCUCGGGCCCCGCAGGAAACGCCGUAUCCACCGUCUGGGGAGAUCACACCGAUGCCGUCAGCGAGACAAAAUGCGGGCGUGGGAGCUGCUGGAGUAGCCGAAUAGUGUUCCCUGUCUUACUUAAUACAGUUCGAUGCGACGCACUUUGACGACGAGAACGGCGAACAAGGAUCGGGCGGAUGAGGAGGCCACCUAAGAGAAAGAUGUCUGUGCAGUAGGCGCUGGUGGUGCACGGCGUUGUGACGCUGCUGCUGGUGGUGUUGCCCUCUGCAGGCACUGGUCCAUCUUCGGAGAAGAUCCACAACUUCCUCACCUUCGGCGCCUGCGACGACUUCUUGCUGCUCUUCUCAAGUUCACGAGUAACAUAAGGGGUAAUCGAUGGAAGAACGAAAUGCACGAUGCUUAUGUCUUACCUGACUAAGGACUUCUGUCACACAAUCAACACAAUUCACAGGUCAGUAUAAUGUUGAGAACUGUUGGAAAUUUUCUCAGUUGUUGCAAGUACAACUAUUAUGCUCAUUGGUUACAGUUCAA